rnacentral:miRNA from 1 species
UGUGCAAAAGUAGUUGUGGUUUUUGUCAUUUAAAAGUAACGGCAAAAACUGCAAUUACUUUGCACC